rnacentral:rRNA from 14 species
GGUAGGAGAAGGCUCUGGAAAGUGCCGCCAUAGUGGGUGAUAGCCCCGUAGCUGUAAAAUGAAGACCUUUUCGAGUAGGGCGGGACACGUGAAAUCCUGUCUGAACAUGGGGGGACCACCCUCCAAGCCUAAGUACUCCUUACCAACCGAUAGUGAACCAGUACCGUGAGGGAAAGGUGAAAAGCACCCCGAUUAGGGGAGUGAAA